rnacentral:rRNA from 1 species
GAUGAACGCUGGCGGCGUGCCUAUACAUGCAAGUCGAGCGAACGGACGAGAAGGUUUCCUCUCCGAAGUUAGCGGCGGGCGGGUGAGUAACACGUGGAUAACCUACCUAUAAGACUGGGAUAACCUUGGGAAACCGUAGCUUAUAACGGAAAAUUUUUUGAACCGGAAGGUUCAAAAGUGAAAGAAGGGCUUGCCGUCAACUAUAGAUGGAUCCGCGCUGCAUUAGCUAGUUGGUAAGGUAACGGCUUACCAAGGCAACGAUGCAUAGCCGACCUGAGAGGGUGAUCGGCCACACUGGAACUGAGACACGGUCCAGACUCCUACGGGAGGCAGCAGUAGGGAAUCUUCCGCAAUGGGCGAAAGCCUGACGGAGCAACGCCGCGUGAGUGAUGAAGGUCUUCGGAUCGUAAAACUCUGUUAUUAGGGAAGAACAUAUGUGUAAGUAACUGUGCACAUCUUGACGGUACCUAAUCAGAAAGCCACGGCUAACUACGUG